GAUGCGAUACGUUACAGGUAGGAUCGGCGGUGGGGAACUUGGGUUGGGGCAGAGAGAGAGAGUGUGUGAGGAAGUAGGCUCGGGGAGGAGCGAGUAUAUACAAAACGAACACAGUGAAUCAUUCACCGCUUUUAGAUACUAGAAAUGGUUUACUGUGUCUAAACACGGUGAAUCGUGUACCGUUCUAGACGCGGUUAAUGAUUCAUCGUAUUUUAUUAUUUUUUUACCUUAAAAGAAUACCGUGAAACAUCUACCGUGUUAAAAUAUGAUAAAUGGUUUACCAUAUUCAAUUUAAUUUAGAACACCGGCAAUGCUCACAUGGUGCUCGCGUGGUGGGGAUAGAGUCAAUCUUACAAAUAUAAAUUUUGUUAGGCUAUUUGUGAAAAUUUUUUGAGAGAACUAAAUGCAAAAAUAUCUAUUAAAAAAUAUACAUUUUGAGUUUUUAGCUAAGAUUAGUUUUUAAUUUGUUUAAC
rnacentral:lncRNA from 1 species